UUCAAACUAAAAACAUGUAUAUAUUUCGAUAUCUAACGCAACCAUAACAUUCAAAUUUACUUUUUACUUCAAUUCCCUAUACAUGCCAUAUAAAUCCAAAAAGUUGCUUAACAUAAUCUACCGGAGUAUAUCUGGAUAGUGUGAUUCUUGAUGUAGAUCCGAUCCUCCGAAUGUAUAAAUACGUUAAUCUACAAAAACAAUAAACACACAAAUGUAAGCUUAUAGAAAAGCUUAGUAAGUUCAUAGGCAUAAAACAUAAAUCUUACCAAACACUUGUACACUUAUACAAUAUACACCAUUACUAAAUUUACCUGUCAACCACAAUCUUUGGUGAGUUCCUUGGUAUAAACUCACUACUACUUAUUCUUUUACCAUAAUUCCUUUGGGCCCAUUUGUCACUUACCAUCCUUGAUCAAAAUUAAGGAACGGUUACGGAAAAUUGAGUACUUCACUUUCACUUUGACAUAUGACCUCUUAUCACUUGUCCUUGAUCAGAUAAGUGUAACUAGGCUACCACUUAUCACUUUGCCACUUGAUCAGAUAAGUGUAGCUGAAGCUACCACUUAUCACUUUAUCACUUGAUCAGAUAAGUGUAGCCACUUAUCACUUUGUCUCUUGAUCAGAUAAGUGUAACCACUUAUCACUUUGUUUCUUGAUCAGAUAAGUGUAACCACUUAUCACUUUGUUUAUUGAUCAGAUAAGUGUAGCCACUUAUCACUUUGUCACUUGAUCAGAUAAGUGUAGCUAAAACUACCACUUAUCACUUUGUCACUUGAUCAGAAGUACUCAAAUCCGGCGUUCACUUAAUUUGAUCAUUUAUUCGAUUUUCACAUUUUUAUUUUAUUCUCAUUUCAACAAUAAAUACAUUUCAUCAUACAUUGUAUAAUUCAUGAAAUUAACAUUUAAUCAUUAAAUUUCAGCCAUAUGAACUUACCUAGGUCGAUUUGCAGAAUUUGCAAAAGUUCAGGGACUAAUCAACUACUUUUUCUUUUCCUCGGC
rnacentral:lncRNA from 1 species